GACGAACCGUGCGAACGUUAUUCGGAAUCACUGGGCUUAAAGGGCGCGUAGGCGGGCGGCCGAGUCCGGGGUGAAAGCCCCCAGCUCAACUGGGGAAGUGCCUCGGAUACCGGCCGUCUCGAGGGAGAUAGGGGCGUGCGGAACUUCCGGUGGAGCGGUGAAAUGCGUAGAUAUCGGAAGGAACACCGGUGGCGAAGGCAGGUCUCUGGGCAUUAACUGACGCUGAGGAGCGAAAGCAUGGGAGCGAACAGG
rnacentral:rRNA from 1 species